rnacentral:rRNA from 1 species
GACGAACGCUGGCGGCGUGCUUAACACAUGCAAGUCGAACGGAAAGGCCCUGCCUUUGUGGGGUGCUCGAGUGGCGAACGGGUGAGUAACACGUGAGUAACCUGCCCCUGACUGUGGGAUAACUUCAGGAAACUGGGGCUAAUACCGGAUAGGAGCUCCUGCUGCAUGGUGGGGGCUGGAAAGUUUCGGUGGUUGGGGUUGGACUCGCGGCUUAUCAGCUUGUUGGUUGGGUAGUGGCUUACCAAGGCUUUGACGGGUAGCCUGCCUGGGAGGGUGACCGGCCACAUUGGGCCUGGACUACGACACGGACUCCUACGGGAGGCAGCGGUGGAGUGUGGUGCACAGUGGGCGGAGGCCUGGUGCAACAAAGCCGCGUGCGGGAUGUCGUCCUUCGGGUUGUAUACCGCUUUCGCCUGUGACGAGGCGUGAGUGACGGUACUGGGUAAAGAAGCACCGGCUAACUACGUG